AAUAUUUCGCAAUGGAGGGAACUCUGACGCAGCGACGCCGCGUGAGCGAUGAAGGUCUUCGGAUCGUAAAGCUCUGUCCUUGGGGAAGAAGGGAGCCGUAAGGCUUCGUGACGGUACCCAUGGAGUAAGCCCCGGCUAACUACGUUCCAGCAGCCGCUGUAAUACGUAGGGGGCAAGCGUUGUACGGAAUUAUUGGGCGUAAGGGGUGCGUAGGCGGCACUUUAAGUCAGAUGGGAAAGCCCACGGCUCAACCGUGGGAUUGGAUUUGAAACUGGAGGGCUUGAAUAUCGGAGAGGGUAGUGGAAUUCCCAGUGUAGCGGUGAAAUGCGUAGAUAUUGGGAGGAACACCAGUGGCGAAGGCGACUAACUGGACGAUUAAUGACGCUGAUGCACGAAAGCUAGGGGAGGAAACA
rnacentral:rRNA from 1 species